CCUGCGAGUCUCCGGCGGUGG
rnacentral:miRNA from 1 species